GAGUUUGAUCCUGGCUCAGAUUGAACGCUGGCGGCAUGCCUUACACAUGCAAGUCGAACGGUAACGCGGGCUUCGGCCUGGCGACGAGUGGCGAACGGGUGAGUAAUACAUCGGAACGUACCCAGUAGUGGGGGAUAACCGCUCGAAAGAGUGGCUAAUACCGCAUACGCCCUGAGGGGGAAAGCGGGGGACCGCAAGGCCUCGCGCUAUUGGAGCGGCCGAUGUCCGAUUAGCUAGUUGGUGGGGUAAAGGCCUACCAAGGCGACGAUCGGUAGCUGGUCUGAGAGGAUGAUCAGCCACACUGGGACUGAGACACGGCCCAGACUCCUACGGGAGGCAGCAGUGGGGAAUUUUGGACAAUGGGGGCAACCCUGAUCCAGCCAUGCCGCGUGAGUGAAGAAGGCCUUCGGGUUGUAAAGCUCUUUCGUCCGGAACGAAAUUGCAGCGUCUAAUAAACGCUGUAGAUGACGGUACCGGAAGAAGAAGCACCGGCUAACUACGUG
rnacentral:rRNA from 1 species